GACGGAGUCUCGCUCUGUCGCCCAGACUGGAGUGCAGUGGCGCAAUCUCGGCUCACUGCAAGCUCUGUCUUCCGGGUUCAUGCCAUUCUCCUGCCUCAGCCUCCUGAGUAGCUGGGACUACAGGCGCCCGCCAUUACGCCCGGCUAAUUUUAUUUUAUUUUAUUUUUAGUAGAGACAGGGUUUCACUGUGUUAGCCAGGAUGGUCUGUGUCUCCUGACCUCGUGAUCCACCCGCCUCGGCCUCCCAAAGUGCUGGGAUUACAAAAUGCGUGAGCCACCACGCCCGGCUGAUGGUUUUAUUAAUAUAAGGGACUUUAACCCUUUGCUCAGGACUUCUACUUGCUGCUGCCAUGUGAAGAAGGACAUAUUUGCUUCCCCUUUCACCAUGAUUGUAAGUUUCCUGAGGCCUCCCCAGCCCUGCAGAACUGUGGCUGUAGUCCCAGCUCCUCAGGAGGUUGUGCCACCCACCAAAAAAUGGAUCCCAUCCAGAAUACAUUACCUUUAGUCAUCAUGUCUCCUGUGGCUCUUCUUGGCUGUGACAGUUUCUCAGCUUUCCCAGUUUUAAUGAACUUGCCAUUUUCAUCAGAUUGUACCAAGACCUACUAUCAAUAUGACUUAUGACUAGUGGUGCUGACCUUGAUCACCUGGCUGAGGUAGUUCUUGUCAGGCUUCUCCACUGUCGAGUUGCUCUCCCCAUCCCCCUUUUCCAUAUUGUACUCUUUGAAAGAAAGUCACUAUAUGCAGCCCUUCCUUAAAAAUAUUAAAAUGAACUAGCUUAAUUAAGUUCUUUCUUACA
rnacentral:lncRNA from 1 species